CAAAUCCACAUUGCUAUUGUACUACAUGAUGCUCAGCCUGAAGGUCGUAGGUCCAUUGUGUUGUGUGUGGAUGGAGGAGAAAGCGAGGUGAGCUGGGAGGGAAACUGAAAUGGAUAAAGAGAAACCAUUUUGUCUUUUUAUUUUUUUAUUUUUUUGGGUUAAAAUUGAAAUUGAUAAAUAUUUUGAUGUGAUGAGAUGACCUAGCCCAACAUGCAAGAGUAUUAAUUAUUGGCCCUUUCUGCCUGGGCCAGCAUUACGACUCAAUUGUCACUUGCUGGGAGCAUCAUUGCUGAGAGCCCUUCAAAUUCUUUUUUUUGGUCGAAAGGUGAUUUUUCAUUGAAACAACAAUUCAACUACAGACCACCACACAAAAGGAGGCAAAGCCUCACAGAACACAGAAUGAAAAAGGAAAAGAAAGACAAGACUCGAUAGAGACCAACAUGAAGCUUUUCCCCACUUAGUCUGCGACCUUACAAAGAGUUGCUAGGAGGGCACGGUAGCCUGUCCGAGACCAAUACAUGAACCAGAGACUGCGGUGGCCGGUAGGCCCAACUUUCCAGUUCCACAGACCCAAAACCUAUUUACGCCGCCAUGUGGCUAGCACGAUUUGCAUUCCUAGACACCCACCUCCAUCGGACCUCAUGAAAGUUAUGGCAGAGACUUUGAAUAUCUUCCAAGAGGGCAGAAUACUCCAGGCUUGAUUACUUGCACUACCACCAUCAACAAGAACUCUAAAAUCAGUUUGCAUCACAAUGUCCAAGUAACCGCAUUGGGAAGCAAGUUGGAGACCCUUGAUCGCAGCUGUCGUUUCAGCUUGGAGAGUAGAAUUACACUAGUAGGGACAGGCCAACCCCCCACAAAAGAGGCCAUCAGAAUUCUAAUCACAUCGCCCAACCCUUGUAAGAACCGUUGGGCUUGGGAAAGCUUUUGAAUAACUGCUCAUGCCGAAGCUGCAUGGUUUGCUCAAGACCGUCUUGCAGCUGGGUCGAAUGUGACUGCUGGUCGUAGAGCUGUCUCUGAGUGUCGUCAAGUUUGGAAGAGAGGAUAUUGUUGUGAAUCUGCAUCUUUGCUAUUUCUUGUUGUAGGGCUUCUAUUCGAGCCUCGAGAGUGUUUUGCCGAAUGGGUGUUUCUGUUCGAGGCGUGCCGAGCAGGGGAGAGGGGCUCGCUCCGCUAGCGAGGCCGAUGAAGGGCCAUCGGCAAAAAAGGAUGAAGGUGGAUUCAUCUUAGCUCAAGAGAGAUAUGGGCCGAUUGAUAAUUGUUUCCCACAGACGGCGCCAAUCCGUUGUCGCUAAAACUAAACAGAUAGUAAUAAGAGCACCUUACAGGUGACGUAGACAAUCGAGAGACCGGAUAUGCCUUCGAU
rnacentral:lncRNA from 1 species